rfam:Anaerolineaceae bacterium 4572_32.2 ex4572_32.2_scaffold_14940, whole genome shotgun sequence.
UCGUGCUAGACGGGGAACUGGCGGCGCCUUGUACCCGCAAUCCGCCAUAGCGGGGUCGAAUUCCCCCUAGAGGGUUGAGUCGCUCGAUACUGCCGUGUUCAAGCGGUGUUGAAGAUUGGGUCCUGCGCGGCAGAAGCCUCCGAAUCCGUCAGGUCCGGAAGGAAGCAGCGGUAAGGGGUCACUUCUGGGUGCCGCAGGAGCGCCUGGUCGGAGCCGGUUGAUCCCGGUAAGCCGGGUGACGCGGUUCGACGGGGGGAUGCACGA